GACGUAGGGCGCGAGCGUUGUCCGGAUUUAUUGGGCGUAAAGAGCUCGUAGGCGGUCUGUCGCGUCGAAUGUGAAAACCCGGGACUCAACUCCGGGCCUGCAUUCGAUACGGGCAGACUAGAGUUCGGUAGGGGAGACUGGAAUUCCUGGUGUAGCGGUGAAAUGCGCAGAUAUCAGGAGGAACACCGGUGGCGAAGGCGGGUCUCUGGGCCGAUACUGACGCUGAGGAGCGAAAGCGUGGGGAGCAAACAGG
rnacentral:rRNA from 1 species